UGCUCGAAGAUUGCGGUCUGAG
rnacentral:siRNA from 1 species